rnacentral:lncRNA from 10 species
UUUUUUUAGAUAAUGGUUAAGUUCAGUCCAAUCUUAGAAAAUUCCAGCCCCAAAGUUUUUUUUUUUUUUUUUUUUUGGAGAAAAUAAAGAGAAAGGAAUCAAUGAGCAACAAUGGCGUGUUAGAGCAAAAACCAUCGUUUUUAGCUGUUAUCUGUCACAGUCCCUAAAGGAAUACAGAAUACAUUUUUUUAAAGAUAUCUUUGUUGACAAAAGUCAAGAGAAAAAAUGUGCUCUCCUGAGUCAAAAGGAGUCACCAACAAAUUGUGAUACAUUUAAUUGCUCAGGGUUGAUGAGAUGUGGAUGAGAAAGAGGGAAGGAGAGACGAGGAGAUAUAUUCCUCUUGAAGCACUGAGGGUAGUUUAUCUUCAUAUAUUUUGCAGGUAUUUUAUACCAGCCUAAAGCAUAGUGCAGGCCCUUCCUUACCUUGUCUUCUCCAGAAGAAAAGAAGAAAAAGAGAAUGCAAAAAAAAAAAAAAAAGAAAAAUCAUCGUCUUGAUGGUAAAUAGAGGAGGCACUUGUGCAGCCCUGGCCCCUGUCAUUGUCUUCAUUGUAAGCUGUGUCAGAGCCAUCACAUCAGGUUGCCACCACAAGAUGCAUGCAAAUAGAGAGAGCAAAGCAGACAGCGUGCGCAGCCACCACCUGCACAUUUCAGAUUGUUGGCAGGUGAGGAGCCAACCUCCCUGCAUGCCAGGAGGAGCC